CUGGCCAACCAUGCCUUUGGCUAUCCAAAUCCUCCUACAUGACUCUGAUGCAUCGACAACAAGGUGCACCACUUCUCUUAUCCCUUCUUCCACUGAGAUACCACAUAGGUAACUCAUAAGUCUCAGCAUCAAAGGUAUGAGAGAGAGAUUUGUCAAAUUCAAGCAUCAAAGGCUUCCAAAAAUUAAUUAAUCACUAUUAUGAUCAUCAUCAAGUUGUGUCUAUUCCAAGUAUUUUAGGAUCAGCGACAUGGAUCCAAUUUCUCCCUUCAUCUCUAUGCAAGGUGAGGGAGAUCCCUCCCAAGGUAUUAUGGAGAGCAUAUGGAUGGAGUAGAUGAGGAGGCGGGAUGAUAGCCUGACACACUGUCUGGAGAGUCCUAGGAGAUCUGUGAGGACAUGGUUCUUGCUAUUGGAGAUUUAUCUUGAGGUUAUGUGUUGUAGUUCUCUUACUGUCAAUGACACUUGUUAUAUAAAAAGUUUGAUAAGCCUUGAUUUUACAACCUUUUGUUAUUGGGUUAUUGUGGUAUGAACGUGAUGUAUGCUCUGGUGUUGUCUUAUGUGUAAGUGAGGGGUGAAGAUAUAAUAUCCGCAACCUUGUCAUCAUGUGUUUAGUAUA